rnacentral:lncRNA from 1 species
UGGGUGUGGAGCAGAGCGGGCAUCUUCAAUUGAAGUCUCAUCAGAACAUGAAACGAAAAUCAGAAACAAAAAAGAAAGUUAAUUAAUUGUGUUGCCACGAAUAACUUUGUUUGUGCUAAAGAUAGUAGUUUGUGGGCUCAGCUUUCGGCCGUGGCUUUCGCUUUCUCUACUAUCUUGGGGCUGGAAUACAUCAGGAACUUGAAAGGAGUCUCACCUAAAAGUUGACUCUUCUGGUUUUUGGCUAGUUAUCUCUAUAGGCCCUUUGAAUUAAUCUGUUCAUAUCUCAACUUGUACUCAUGACCCAUUUACUUCGGUCAGUUUAACUUGUGCUUCUCUAGUUUAACUUGUUAAUAUAUGUCUCGAGUUUAAGCUUAUUGAAUGAAUCUGACCCCAAUUUAUUUGCAUGUUAACUCGGUAGAUCAAAGUUCAAGAUUGGAUCUUGCAUAAUGCAGAAACCUCAUUCAUAUUGGUGGCGUGAUCUUGAAUGUAAUUUAUUUCCUUUACAAGCUGUAGUCGGCGAAGAAAGCGAAAAAUUAUAUAUACGCACGAGUUGGUUUCUACAUUGAAGUCAGCAAGGAAAAUAAAUUUGAGGAGAGUUGACCGUGGAUUUUUUUUCCCACGUUGGACUCGGUUUCAUGAAGGGUUUUGUUUCUUUUGUAUAUUACAAAUACGGGCUGAAUAAUUGCUGGAAUUUGGGCGCGCCGUUGUUGAUUUGCCGUGAGUGCUUGCUCGUGAAGGCGGUCUUCGUGCUGCUGCGGUUGAUGUAUAAAGGUCUUCUUGAAGCGCGGUCUGUAUACAAAUGCUUGGUAGGCAAAGACGUGCAGAGAAAACUCUUAACUUACAUUAAUCAAGUUAGUGUUUGUAGCCGUGAAAUCUUGUGGUAAAAUUUGUGAAUUUCUUUAUGAGAUUGAGAGAUUAUUUCGUAAGAAAUUUCGAAGUUAAAUAUUGCGUGAGUUAUUAGAAGUAAUUGGGGCUUCAAAAAUAUCGAGAGUAUUUGAGUAAUUCGAGUGUCUAAUCUCCAUUGUAUCGCUUUAUUUAUAGCAAAUUCGUCGCUACUCUCCCAUGGAUAUAGUUCUCUAUAAUUGAAUCACGUAAAUCUAGUAUCUGAUUUAUUUUCUUGUUCCGUCUAUUUUAUUAUUCCAUAGCUCGCUUUUCACAAUAAUUGGUAUCAAAACUAGACUUGAUAGAGUUGAAAAGAAUUGAUGGCAACAGAAGAAGGAAAAGUGAGAAUUGAAAGAUUUGAUGGGAAUGAUUUUAAUUUCUAAAAGAUGUAGAUUGAAGGUUAUCCAUACUAGAUAAAUCUGCACUUGCUCCUAUCUAGGGAGAAGCUAGAGAUGAUGAAGGAAGCUUAUUGAGAUUUGUUGGAUGGACGAGUUAUGGGUUUUAUUCGAUAGACGUUGGCUCGUAACGUCACAUUUAACAUCGUGAAGAGGGAGACCACUGCUGAUUUGAUAAAAGUCCCGUUGGAUAAGUACGAGAAACCCUCUGCAAUCAACAAUGUUUAUUUGAUGCGACGUUUGUUUAAUUUAAAAAUGAGUAAAGCAUCAGUUAUAGAUCAUGUCAAUAAAUUUAAUGUGAUUAUUAAAGAUGAGCGAAGGUGUGUUAAUUGCAAAUCAUAUAAAUAAAUUCAAUGUGAUUAUUAGUCAAUUGAGUUUAGUUGAGAUUGACUUUAAAGAUGAGGUACGUGCUUUAAUUCUAUUAUCUUCAUUGUCUGAUAGUUAGAAUAUUGCUAUUAUUGCUGUUAGUAAUUCUUCUGGUUUGACGUUUAAGGGGCUUUGAGAUUUAAUUCUAAAUGAAGACAUUCGUAGAAGAAAAUCUGGCUAGCCUAUAUAUGUUACUUUAGUAGGUGAAAAUAGAAGAAAAUCUAGAACACAUGUUAGUAGGAGUAAUACUAACAUGAACAGGUGUAACCAGUUUAGGACUAGUAAUGAUGUCCGUUGAAGUUAUGGCAAAAGUGGGCAUCGAAAUGGGCAUCUUAGAAAGAAUUGUCUUAAGUUAAAAAAACGAAAAUGGUAAGGAAAUUAAGUGCCAAAUAGUUAAAGUGCCAAAAGUUAAAAAAGUGAUACUUAAAUAUUAAAAUUAGAGCAAAUGAAUUAGUUAAGUACCAACAGCGAGAAAAUCUGAUCAAAAUGCUGAAGUAAUAAUUUUCCAGUAAGGCAAGUGCAAAACGACGUCAUUUUUUACAUGCUGACGUGGCUAAACAAGUGUAAAACUGACGUCGUUUUGGUGCUGACAUUUGACGUGGGUAAAUAAUUGAUAUAAAAAUUAAUUAAAUUUAAUUUAAUACCAUUUUUUUAAAACAAAAAGAAGGAAGAUGAUAAACAGUGGCAAGUUGUUAAGGAAUCAACCCUUGCAGUCGUUGUCGGGACGGGCCUACGACAAUGGGGGAAGAGUCUACCAGCAACCCUGGCCGAUAGAAGGCAAGGGCCUAUGAGCCCUCACCUAGAUCUGGGGCAAGGGUCACGGCCCUCCUCAAAACAUAGCGAGGGUCAGCAUGACCCUCGCCUGGCCUAGCCUGCUGGAGCGACCCCUCAACAAGCAACGCCCUUGGCCCGAUCAAGCAAGGAUCGGCUUUCAUUGAAUCUAGGGGAGGGUUGCGACCCUUGCCCUAAAUCUGGGCGAGGGCUUACAAGCCCUCACCUCCGAUCAACUAGGGUUGUGGGGCCCUAGCCCCCCCACCCCCAUGACGGUGGGGAGGCGGCAGCAAGGAGCGGGCUGUCAGUCACCUGCAACUAUUCAUCUUCUUCCUUCCUCUUUUUUUUUUUUUUUUUUUAAAAUAAAAAUUUAAUUUAAUUAAUUUUUAGUAUUAAUUUUUACUCUAAAGAUUAAUUUCAACAUUUUCGAGGAAAUUUAAUUUUUUAAGAUUUUUAGAUUUUUCUAUUCUUAAAAAAAAUCGAAAUUUUAAAAAAAGAAUUUUUAAAUUUUUUUUAAAAGUCAAAUUUUUUAAUGUUUUCUGAGUUUUUGAAUUUUCGGAAAAUUUUUUGAUUUUUAUUAUUUUUCGAAAUUUUUGAUUUUUUUGAAAACUUUUGAAUUCUUGAAAUUUUUAAUAUUUAAUAUUAUUAUAUUCGGAUAUAGGGUUCGGAUCGGGUAGAUCCGAUCCUGCCAUUGACCCGACCCAAAACCAGAUUCGACCCUAUCGGGUCGAAAAAGAAAAUAAGAUUUUUAAUUAUUUUUUUUUAGUUUUUUUUUUUUUUAAUUUUCCUUUUUUUGGCUUCUUCUAUGUUUUGUCUUUUUCCCUGCACCGAACGUCUGCCCCCCCCCCCCCACGUCUUUUCCACCUUUCUAUUUUUUUUUCAUUACUCUUUUUAUUUCUUUUAUUUCUUGUUUUUCUUUAAAUCUUUUUUUAGGUCGUCUUCUUCCCUGGUCUUUUUCACCUUCGUGUUUGCCCACUGUACGCUCGAAGCUUCUUUUCCCAAAACAUGGCCUCAUCGAGACUCAGCCAAACAACAACCCAGUCCGGAACAACCGGCGACCCUUCCACCGCCGAACUUCCGUCGGCCACUAGUUGGCCGGAGAUCGUCACCAUCAUCGGCUGAGCAUACCCUCCUCGGCCAAACACCGAGCAAGCAACAACGACGAAUGGGAACGUAGCGAACGACCACACGACCGACGCCCAGGGUCACCCAACACCGCCGGAACAUCACAAAAGAGCGCGACACGCCUGGACAACUCGAUUUCAGUCAAAGACAAAACCACGGAGACUGGAUCUCGUUGUGGCAUUCUAUCAAACAGGUGGAGGGCGCUCCCGAAUCACAUGGUUUCUAUCUCAACUAGGACCCAAACCCAAACCGAGACUCUCACCAACAAACAAUAAAACAUACAGCAACCAAAGAGGGAGUGGACAAGGCCGGAGUUUACGCAAACCAGUCGAACACAAACUCCGGCCCGAGAUGCACAGAACAGGGUGAAAACAGGGCGCGAGGACCUACCGGAUUCGACUUGAGGACGUUGGCCGAGGGGUCGUCCGGCGGGGCUCGCACGCAGCUGAAGCGACGACUGAAGCUCCCUUGCUCUCCCUUAGUCGCUUCCUCGCUCGGACUUCUUCUCCCUCUCGGUUUCUCUCUGGUUCCUCUCAGCUCCUCCUCAGCUCUCUCGGUUUCUCAUAGUUCAAGAAGAAGGGCGUCGGGGAGCCCGAUUCCGUGCACGGUACGAGCCUCUCUUUGGCUCUUUACCCUCUCUCAAGUACUUCUCUCGCUCCAGCUCUCACUCUCGAGCACCUCUCUCGCUCAAGCUCUCCCUCUUUUCUCCUGUCUCUGCCGGUUCUCCGUUUUCUUUGGUUUUCUCCCUCUGUGUGCCCGAUGCUCUCCUUUCUCGUCUUCCUCUCUUUUUUCUCGCUCCAGCCCGUGUUUUCUGUCUUGCCCUCCUGUUUUUUUUUUCUUUUUACUGAGCUCUUCAAGAUCAACGGUCGGUGUGUCUGGUUCUUGC